rnacentral:rRNA from 1 species
UGGGGAAUAUUGCACAAUGGGCGCAAGCCUGAUGCAGCCAUGCCGCGUGUAUGAAGAAGGCCUUCGGGUUGUAAAGUACUUUCAGCGGGGAGGAAGGGAGUAAAGUUAAUACCUUUGCUCAUUGACGUUACCCGCAGAAGAAGCACCGGCUAACUCCGUGCCAGCAGCCGCGGUAAUACGGAGGGUGCAAGCGUUAAUCGGAAUUACUGGGCGUAAAGCGCACGCAGGCGGUUUGGUAAGGCAGAUGUGAACUCCCCGGGCUCAACCUGGGAACUGCAUCUGAUACUGGCAAGCUUGAGUCUCGUAGAGGGGGGUAGAAUUCCAGGUGUAGCGGUGAAAUGCGUAGAGAUCUGGAGGAAUACCGGUGGCGAAGGCGGCCCCCUGGACGAAGACUGACGCUCAGGUGCGAAAGCGUGGGGAGCAAACA